AAUUCACGUUGAUGCAGCUUGUAACCCCUUUUUACUUUCAACUUUUUUCUUAGAUUGAUCAUUAUACACCUUACACCAUAUUUAUACUUAGGUUAACUUUUAACCUAUAGUUUGCAACAACACUAAACCCAAUACUUAAUGGGCUUGAUUAUCAUAAUGGCCCAAUGGCCCUUAAUCCUAAAGAUCUUAACAAAAGUCUUCUCCCUCAUUCUUGUCGCUUCUUCUUCUCCACUCUAAUAUUCCUCUGACUUUCUUCUUCUCCUCUAUUCAAGCUUCUGAUCAUUCUCUCUUUCAAGUUUGAGCAUUAAUCAAGGUUUGAUUCCAACACUCCCUCUCAAACCCUUGAUUAAUCCCCAAAUUCAAAAUUGAUUUUUGGAAUCUCAUCUCUCCUUGAUGCUUCUCGUUGCGUUCUUUUCCAGAUUGAUAUGUCCCUUUUACAACAUCUGCAUAGCUCACUGGCAACAUCUCCAUCUCCCUCAUUGGCUUAUUCUCAAUGAGUGACUUUCUUGGUGGGAUUUGACAUAACUCCGAGUUUUGAUCUCAUCUCCUCAAACCGUUUAGUUCCGAGGGGCUUCGUGAGGAUGUCAGCGAUUUGUUCUUCGCCACAGCAGUACCUCAGAUGUAUUGUCACAAUAGAUUGGGACACCUUUGUUAGUAUCGACCUUCACUUCUCCCAGCAAACGCUUCAACCACACUGCAUGAUUUGUGGCUGAGGCCAAAGCCAUAUAUUCCGCUUCUGCCGUGGACUGGGCAAUUGUGUCCUGUUUCUGGGUUUGCCAUGUGAACAUUCCACUUCCUAGUGUAAAACACAUACCUGUGGUGCUGCGCAUAUCUUCUUUACAGCCUGCCCAAUCAGAGUUUUGUUCCUUAGGUUGCGAUAGACUCCUGGAUAGGUAGGAUGCAGCAAAAGCUAAAUCAGGUCUAGUUGCAGCAAGGUUCCACUUAUUUUGAGAGGCUAAGGCUAUUAGAGUUCUGAUUGUGUCGUGUCUGGAUACCGGGGCAAACGUUUCACCAUAAUCUUCUCCAUAUGUCUGAGUUUCCUUACCAGCUCCCAAGUCUCAUUCUUGUUUAUGAUGUUGAUUUCAUCACCCAUUGCAAUCGUCCAUUCUUUGCUGCUUAUAGCAUCUUCAAAUGUGGACGGCUCCUCCCAGGUAAGAUAGCAUGCUUCCGCAACAUUAUUUGCAUCUUCUCCUCGUUCUUCUGUUUCAUGAUACACAUCAUCUAGUCUUCUAACUUUGUGAAUAACUCGAGAAGAGCUCCCUGGUUCAGUUUCUCCUCCACUUAACUGAAAAGAGGUGGGAUGACCUUACUUUGGGAGUUCUCAGUUCUCACUUUUACUUCUUCUUGAGUUUUCCAAUUCCAACUCUUGUUUUCUUCAAACACCACAUCUCUUGACACUUCUAUCCUCUUGGUACUUAGGAUAUACACUCUGUAACCCUUACUUAUAGUACUAUAUCCCAUAAAUAUAGCUUUUUCUGACCUAUCAUCAAGUUUUCUCCUUCUAGCUGCUGGGAUCCACACAUGACAAAUACAACCGAAUACCUUAAGGUGACCAACAGAGGGUUUGUGGCCACUCCAAACCUCAAGUGGUGUUUUUUGACUUAGAGCCCUGGUGGGGAGUCUAUUCUGAAGCAGGGUCCUGUUUCUACGUUCAGCAACUCCAUUCUGUUGUGUUUGAGUUUCCACCAGGCUCUUAAAUUUCUUGAAUGUUGCGAAGGUGUCUGAUUUAAACCUCAGAAAAUAUACCCACAACAUAUGUGAGAAAUCAUCUGUAAAGAUUGUGUAAAUUGUGAAGACCAGAGUGUCCGAAUCUUUUAUGCCAUAGUUCAGACAAAUUCUCUUCUUUAGCCAUCCUUACACUCUCUUCAGCUAACGGCAUAUGCAGCAAGUUCUCCACAAGCAAAACAGCCUCUCCUUGGUCUAAAUUGCUUACUAAAGAACUGGGAUUCAUAACUUUGGAGAAGGUCUGUGUUCACCGAAAUUGACCGAGCUCUGAUACCAUGUUCAAAAUUCACGUUGAUGCAGCUUGUAACCCCUUUUUACUUUCAACUUUUUUCUUAGAUUGAUCAUUAUACACCUUACACCAUAUUUAUACUUAGGUUAACUUUUAACCUAUAGUUUGCAACAACACUAAACCCAAUACUUAAUGGGCUUGAUUAUCAUAAUGGCCCAAUUGCCCUUAA